UCUUAUGAUGAUUUUACUUUGGAAUCUCGUUCGUCUGAACUCCUGUUGAGAACUUUUUAAUACUGAUGAUG